AUGCCUUACACAUGCAAGUCGAACGGCAGCACGGGGGCAACCCUGGUGGCGAGUGGCGAACGGGUGAGUAAUACAUCGGAACGUGUCCUGUAGUGGGGGAUAGCCCGGCGAAAGCCGGAUUAAUACCGCAUACGAUCUACGGAUGAAAGCGGGGGAUCUUCGGACCUCGCGCUAUAGGGGCGGCCGAUGGCGGAUUAGCUAGUUGGUGGGGUAAAGGCUCACCAAGGCGACGAUCCGUAGCUGGUCUGAGAGGACGACCAGCCACACUGGGACUGAGACACGGCCCAGACUCCUACGGGAGGCAGCA
rnacentral:rRNA from 4 species